rnacentral:rRNA from 1 species
AGAGUUUGAUCCUGGCUCAGAUUGAACGCUGGCGGCAUGCCUUACACAUGCAAGUCGAACGGCAGCACGGGGGCAACCCUGGUGGCGAGUGGCGAACGGGUGAGUAACAUAUCGGAACAUACCCUAGAGUGGGGGAUAACGUAGCGAAAGUUACGCUAAUACCGCAUACGAUCUAAGGAUGAAAGUGGGGGAUCUUCGGACCUCAUGCUCAUGGAGUGGCCGAUAUCUGAUUAGCUAGUUGGUGAGGUAAAGGCUCACCAAGGCGACGAUCAGUAGCUGGUUUGAGAGAACGACCAGCCACACUGGAACUGAGACACGGUCCAGACUCCUACGGGAGGCAGCAGUGGGGAAUUUUGGACAAUGGGGGCAACCCUGAUCCAGCAAUGCCGCGUGAGUGAAGAAGGCCUUCGGGUUGUAAAGCUCUUUUGUCAGGGAAGAAACGGUGAGUUCUAAUAAAGCUUGCUAAUGACGGUACCUGGAGAAUAAGCACCGGCUAACUACGUG